UGGGGAAUCUUGGACAAUGGGCGAAAGCCUGAUCCAGCCAUGCCGCGUGAGUGACGAAGGUCUUCGGAUUGUAAAGCUCUUUUGGCGGGGACGAUAAUGACGGUACCCGCAGAAUAAGCCCCGGCUAACUUCGUGCCAGCAGCCGCGGUAAUACGAAGGGGGCUAGCGUUGUUCGGAAUUACUGGGCGUAAAGCGCACGUAGGCGGAUUUGUAAGUCAGGGGUGAAAUCCCGGGGCUCAACCUCGGAACUGCCCUUGAUACUGCAAAUCUCGAGUCCGAUAGAGGUGAGUGGAAUUCCUAGUGUAGAGGUGAAAUUCGUAGAUAUUAGGAAGAACACCAGUGGCGAAGGCGGCUCACUGGAUCGGUACUGACGCUGAGGUGCGAAAGCGCGGGGAGCAAACAGGAUUAGAUACCCUAGUAUUCCCUGAGCGGGCUGGCAAGGCGCAU
rnacentral:rRNA from 1 species